AAACCCUCAACCAAAAUCCGGUAAACUUAGCCAUCCACGAUAACCCGACCCGUCUUCAAUGAUCCCAACACAACCAGCGAAAACCCAAACCCAGCGACCAAUUUUCAGCCGAGAAAACCUAAAUACAUCCUUUCCCCUUCAAUUCAUACGAAUGGCGUGACCUCCACUUGAGUUCAUACGUCAAAGAACCUCGAACCUUCUAGAACAGUGCCAAGGUGGCAUCUUAACGUUCAUAUCCGCGAAUCUAAGGAUGGGGGUAUGAAUCUGGUACGUAUUUGGCCAAUUUCUAUUGGUUUGAAGGGGGAUUUCUUUUCGAUUGGCUAAUCCAUUUUUGGAUUUCAUGAGAAACAACAAAAAGGGGUACAAAUUAUUGACAAAAAUAGGCUGGGGGGAAUUUUCGAAUUGGAAAUUCAAAAUUCCUUCUUCCGAAUCCCGAAACACCCCAUCCUUUCUUCUAUAUAAGAGCCCAUUUGGGUCACUGUUAAGGAGUUCAAAAAUUCUAGGGUUCUUUAGAGGCUGGAAAUUCUAAGGUUUGGAAAUUGAUUGAGAAAACUAGGUUGAGAAAAUUUCUUUUGGUUCAAAAAGAGGGGGUCGAGCAAUCUUCUUGGAGAAAAGAAACAAAAAUUAGAGAGAGAGCAGAGAAAGAAAUUUUUUGAGAAAAUUCAGUCUCGAGUAGAAAUUCUAUUCUUGUUCAUCGGCUAAAUUAGAGUUUCGAUUGACUGUGAAGAAGUUUCCUGGUGGUCGUGAUCUCUGUACCAGUUCGUUGUCCCAUUUUGCUGCCCAAAAGUCGGUUAGUUUUCGAUUCCCUUUUACUAUACUAUCGUGAUAGUGUUUAGUCAUGAUAAGAUUCUGAUUCUUGCAUUUGUUUGCUGGGAUGGCUAUGAAAGUCGUGUGAUUAGCUUGUUACAGGUUGUUGUUCUGUUGAACCGAUAAUUAUGUUGAGGUUUAAUUCGUUUGCUUUCGAAUGAUUUCACUGUUUUUGUGUUAAUAGUGUCAUAAUCGCUUAAUCCUGUGAGAAUUGUUUGCUACCACAGAUGGCUUUAGUAUAUUAGAUUCUGAUGGUCACAGUUUUUGUUUUGUUAGUUUCUGGGUUUUCAUUUCUGAUUUGUUUUCUAUAUUUACUCAAUGUUGAUAAGGGUUUGUUGUUAGUAGAAUUUGAUUGCCAUUGAAUUUAGCUAUGGGUUCUUUGCAGUAUUUUAGGAAGAUUGCUAUUGAUUUUUCUCAUUCCAGUAUUGAAUCUGCUUACUAGACAGUAAAAGAUUGUGACUUUGAUGUUUCGUCUAAAACAUAUUUUCUUUUGCCUUGAAACUGAUGGUUAUUUUCUUCCUUUUGCUCCCCCCUUUAAUUUCCUUUCCUUGGUUCUUGCUGUUUGGUUCGUCUUUUCUUGUACUUAAUUUUAGUGUUUGUAACUGUAAAGAAAGCUGCUUUAGAUGAUUUCUUGAGACAAUGUGAUAGAAAUGAAAGUAUUUUGGUGCAUUUGACUUGAAAAUAUGAUUAUCAUAACCUAAAAUUAUGCAAGUUAAAGUGUACUAGUCAGUAUACAUACAAACAACUUGAAUUCUGGUGAUGACCUAAUGAACAAACUAUUGCAUUUGGUAAUUCUCCUUGGUUUAUGGUAUUUUCUUGGGCCUCUAUAAUGAUAUCUUGCCAUCUUGAGAGUUAUGCUGUCUACAGAAUGUGAAUACUUUUUUUCCACUGCCCUGCUUGAUUUUCUAGCUAAAUACGUUUGGCUUAAAAAAAUAAUAAUAAAAAUUAAUUAAAUUUUUUUUUUUGUGUUAGUCGAUUAUUUCCUAAUUUUUUAUGUCAGUGCGGUUCUUUCCUUCAUAUCAAUACUUUAGGAAUUGCUUAUAAGUUAAAUAUCCAUAUUUGAACAUGUAUUAAUUGUUAUUUUUUUCCUUUGCAUGUGGAUACAUUUGGGUCCUAAAUGGACUCUCCCCAUUCUUUGCAUUAUUGAUAUGGGCCACUGAGGCCUAUCCUUCUUGAGUCGAUUUCGGAAACCAUAAGAAGACAAUCAUAUAUCAUAUGGAUGGAUACAAGGAGUCGUAAGAAGGAAAACGGGUUAAAGUCUCAUUCUUGAAGCGAUGACGAGACCCGAGCCUCAUUUCUAUUUAUUUAUGUCUUGUCGUUAUUUAUUUAUUUAUUUAAUUAUUUAUUUUGGGGCCUCGAAGUCAAAGUUGUAAAUUUAAUACAGCUGGAGCGAGACUCGAGCCAACGACUCGAAAAUUAGACUAGGACAGGUGAAAUGGGCCGAAAGUCCGAUUAAACUAGGACAGGUCUUAUUGAUUUGGGCCUAAUGGCCUAAAUCCCUUACUUUCUCCCCUUCCUCUUUUUUUUUUUUACGCUUGUUUGUCUUAUGUAUUUUGUGAACCUAGUUAAAUCUUUUGUUAAGUCGCUAAAAAUUGGUUUUUGCAUAAACACCAAAAUAUUUCUAAAAUUUCUUUCUUUUCAAAAAAUAAUUUUUAUUUUAAAGUUAAUCAAAGAUGUUUUCAAACAAUCCGGAUAAUCGCAAGUUAGCAGACGUUUUAGGUGCCUAACACCUUCCUGAACGUUAAUAGGAACCGCUUACUCAGAAUCUCUUAACUAAAAUGAUUUUCCUAUAUUAAAUCAUUUUGAAAUAACUCUCUAAAGGUUUCUUAAUUUUUUUUCAAAAUUAAGUGGCGACUCUUCUCUUAAAGUCAAAAAUUUUCGCAAAAUAAUAAAUGCAUACAUUUUAUCCAAUAUGAGUUGAAUUACAACAAUAAUAUAUUCACUAUUUAGUAUAAUAUACAAAUGAGAUUGUGGAUAGAUACAUUCACUAUAAUGUAAAUACAUUUAUAACACUCUCCUUGAAUAUCUAAAUAGAUAAUGUGCCUUGUUAAAACUUUAUUAGAAAAAAUCAGUGGAAGAAAAUUUAGUAAUGGAAAAAGAUUACACAUCUCUAACAAUAUGCAUUUUGGCUGCCUCAUUAAAAACCUUACAAGAAAAACCCGGUGAAACAAAAUCUUGAAAGGGAAAAAGAGUACAAUGCGUAUUAACUCCUUAAACCUUUGUACCCUCGCGUUUAGAUUCCGUCAAAUGAUGUGAUUGAUAUAUUUUUUGAAUCAAAUUUAUUUUAUAUCAUGAUUAUUUUUUUUUUCGUUUUCUCAUAUUAUUUUCACAUAAAUUUUAAUUAAAAAUUAGCAUUUCCAACAGUUUUUUAAUUUAAAAUUUGUGGUCAAACAGACACCUUUACAAAUAGGUAUAAUAGCACAAAUUCAAGGUUGUCUUAUCAUGUUAGUUCGGACAGGUGAUGAAGAGGGGCUCUGAUGCUCCAGUGCGGAGAUGUGAGACACUGGCUAUGGAUGGUUUUAGGCGGGAUAGAGAUAGACUGAAGAAAUAUUGGAGGGAGGUGAUUAAGCAUGAUAUGGAGCAGUUAUAGCUUACUAAGGACAUAUCCUUGAUAGGAAGGUGUGGAGGACGCGGAUUAGGAUAGAGAGUUAAGGGGUAGGAGUGCAUCAGUAAUAGUAGAGAAUGUUCUUUUGUGUAUGGAGUUUCUUGUUUGUGGUGUUGUGAUUGUAGUUUUAUUUUGUUGCUAGCGGUGUUAGUUUAUUUUUCAUACCGUACUAGUUUAUAUGCAGUUAUCUUUUAUAUCUGUUAUACUGUUAUCGGUCUUACACCGGGGGUCUAUCGGAAACAGCCUCUCUACUUCACUCGAGGUAGUGGUAUAGUUUGCGUACACUCUACCCUCCCUAGACCCCACUAUGUGGGAAUACACUGGGUAUGUUGUUGUUGUUAAGCCUUAAAUAUAUGCAUAUAAUAAACAUAUUAUUAAUAAUUUA
rnacentral:lncRNA from 1 species